rnacentral:misc_RNA from 1 species
AAUGUCGUAACAAGGUCUCCGUUGGUGAACCAGCGGAGGGCAUCAUUACCGGAGUUUACAACUCCCAAAUCCCUGCUGAACAUACCUUAAUUGUUGCCUCGGCGGAUCAGCCCAGCGCCCAGUAAACCGGACGGCCAGCCAGAGGACCCUCAAUCAUCUAAUGUUUCUUAUUGUAACCUUCUGAGUAAAAUCAAAGCAAAGUAAAUCAAAG